UNUGACUUGAGUGCAGAAGGGGAGAGUGGANUUCCAUGUGUAGCGGUGAAAUGCGUAGAUAUAUGGAGGAACACCAGUGGCGAAAGCGGCUCUCUGNUCUGUCACUGACGCUGAGGCUCGAAAGCGUGGGUAGCGAACAGGAUUAGAUACCCUGGUAGUCCACGCCGUAAACGAUGAGUGCUAGGUGUUAGGCCCUUUCCGGGGCUUAGUGCCGGAGCUAACGCAAUAAGCACUCCGCCUGGGGAGUACGACCGCAAGGUUGAAACUCAAAGGAAUUGACGGGGGCCCGCACAAGCGGUGGAGCAUGUGGUUUAAUUCGAAGCAACGCGAAGAACCUUACCAGGUCUUGACAUCCCGAUGCUAUUCUUAGAGAUAGGAAGUUACUUCGGUACAUCGGAGACAGGUGGUGCAUGGUUGUCGUCAGCUCGUGUCGUGAGAUGUUGGGUUAAGUCCCGCAACGAGCGCAACCCUUAUUGUUAGUUGCCAUCAUUAAGUUGGGCACUCUAGCGAGACUGCCGGUAAUAAACGGGAGGAAGGUGGGGAUGACGUCAAAUCACCAUGCCCCUUAUGACCUGGGCUACACACGUGCUACAAUGGUCGGUACAACGAGUUGCGAGCCGGUGACGGCAAGCUAAUCUCUGAAAGCCGAUCUCAGUUCGGAUUGGAGGCUGCAACUCGCCUCCAUGAAGUCGGAAUCGCUAGUAAUCGCGGAUCAGCACGCCGCGGUGAAUACGUUCCCGGGCCUUGUACACACCGCCCGUCACACCACGAGAGUUUGUAACACCCGAAGUCGGUGAGGUANCCUUUUAGGG
rnacentral:rRNA from 1 species